AAAAUUUUGACUGAACAACAAACGCUGAAGAUAAUUUAAAAGGCCAGGCCCCGCUUUCACUAACGUUCUCAAAGUGAGAAAAUUCUCAGCUCAAGAUUUUCUCAGAAUAGUCUGAGAAUUGUCUCAGCUGAGAAAUUUCUCAAGUUGGCUUUCGUUAAACUUUUUCUCAAGUCUUGAGAUUUUUCUCAGCUGAGCCGUAAUUUUUUAAGACAUAAGCGGCCAAACAUCCAAGGAGCCGCGUGAACUUUCCCACGAACACGAGUGCAUAGUUGGGGGCAGUGGAUUUAUUCAUUUAUUGAGACGAAAUGAAGCGUUGAGAAAUGUUCAUAAACAACAUGUACAGUUUCGGGAUAUAUCCAAAUUGUAUGUUUGUACAAAGGUCACAGCCUGCUGAUGAAGAUCUUCAGCUUAUACAGAGGUCAGGCUUGAGCUAUGUGCUUAUUCAAAAGAUGCUAAUGACAGUGGAUAAUCCAUUCUGAGUUGUUCUAGGACCAUUCACCAACGUUUCAAAACACUGAUGGAACUGAAGGCAGUAGGUGUACUGGUGUCUGGCCUGUGAUUUCAAGUAUAAUAAUUGAUGUACCUCCUCCUGAUGUAUCUUCUUGAAUACAAUAUAUCUGCCAUGUGGAAGGAACAAGCUGCAAGAUAUACUGUGGAAGUGGGGGCCUAUGUAAAAAACAUUUUAUUUAAAGAAUAUAAGAAAUCUGACACUAAACUACUGAAAAGGUGCACAGGGGACAUUUUUGUGUGUAUAGACUUUCAUCAAGAUUCUGAGAAAGUUGAUUUAUUAAACAAAAAUAGUCAUAUUGUGUCUUCAAAGCUGAAAAGAUUAAGAUCUUAGGAAAACAUUAGGA